rnacentral:lncRNA from 1 species
CCACCUCCUAGAAUAAUGACAAUAAAAACAAAAAUAACCAAAUGGGACCUAAUUAAACUUAAAAGUUUUUGAACAGCAAAGGAAACCCUAAACAAAAUGAAAAGACAGCCCAGAGAAUGGGAGAAAAUAUUUGCCAAUGAAGUGACUGACAAGGGAUUAAUCUCAAAAAUAUAUAAAUACCUCCAGCAGCUCAAUACCAAAAAAACAAACAACCCCAUCAAAAAAAUGGGUAGAAAAUCUAAACAGACAUUCCUCCAAAGUUGGCUAAAAAGCACAUGAAAAGAUGUUUAACGUAACUAAUUAUUAUAGAAAUGCAAAUCAAUACUAUGAGGUACCACCUUACACCAACCAGAAUGGCCAUCAUCAAAAAGUCUACAAACAAUAGAUGCUGGAGAGGGUGUGGAGAAAAGGGAACACUAUUACACUUGGCGGGAAUGUAAAUUGGUGCAACCACUGUGGAAAACAGCAUGGAGAGUCCUCAAAAAACCAAAAAUAGAAUUACCGUUUGAUCCAGAAAUCUCAUUUCUGGGCAUCUAUCCAGAGAAAACCAUGACUCGAAAAGAUACGUGUACCCCAAUGUUCAUUGCAGCACUAUAUAUGAUAGCCAAGAUAUGGGAGCAACCUAGAUGUCCAUCAGCAGAAGAGUGGAUAAAGAAGAUGUGGUACAUAUAAACAAUGGAAUAAUCUCAGUCAUUAAAAAGGAAUGAAAUAAUGGCAUUUGCAGCAACAUGAAUAGCCUUGGAAAUUGUCAUGCUGAAUGAAGUUAGUCAGAUAGUGAGAUACCAACAUCAUUUCCUAUCAUAAAUAUGUGGAAUCUAAAAAAAAAGGAUACAAUGAACUUAGCAGAACAGAUGCUGACUCACAGACUUUGAAAAACUUAUGGUUUCCAAAGAAGACAGUUUGGGGUGGGGAGAGAUGUGCUGGUGGUUUGGGAGGGAAAUGCUGUAAAAUUGGGUUAUGAUGAUCGUUGUAAAACUAUACAUGUAAUAAAAUUCAUUGAGUUAAAAAAAAGGAAGAGGAGUUUCCUUUGUGGCUCAGUGGUUAACGAUUCCGACUAAGAACCAUGAGGUUGUGGGUUCGAUCGCUGGCCUCGCUCAGUGGGUUAAGGAUCCAGCGUUGCUGUGAGCUGUGAUGUAGGUUGCAGAUGCAGCUCAGAUCUGGCGUUGCUGUGGCUCUGGCGUAGGUCAGCAGCUACAGCUCCAACUGGACCCCUAGUCUGGGAACCUUCAUGUGCCUCGGGUGAGGCCCUAGNAAAAAAAAAAAAAAAAAAAAAAAAAAAAAGGAAGAAAAGAAAAGCAGUGGCCAUCCAGUUAUGACAACAGGUGAUAGAUCCAAAAUAACAGCCACAUUUGUUACCAUUUUUCCAUUACAAAGCCAUCCUUAAGGAAAACCACACAUGGGGUCACAUCAUCCUCAGUAUAGUCCAACAGAGCAACCACGCCAUCUGGAUUCAGAUUUUCACCGAUAAAGAACUGAUAGUUUUUGAAAUUAGCAAGGAUGUGCUUGAUUUGUUCUGUAGCUCAUGUCAUAAAAGGUUUUACUCUCUCUGGUCUCUAUUGUUCAAGUUACCCUUUGAUUGGCUUCAUGUAUUCUUUAAUGUACUUUUUUUUUUUUUUUAAGAUCCGCACUCAUGGCAUAUGGAAGUUUUCAGGUUAGGGGUCCAAUCGGAUCUACAGCUGCCAAUUUACACCACAGUCCCAGCAACGAGGGAUCCAAGCCACAUUUGUGAACUACACCACAGCUCAUGGCAGGGCCACAAUGGGAACUCCUUUUGAUGUAAUUCCUGUAGGCUUCUUUUGUGAAGCUGGUUUCCUGCAAGUUAUGGUUCAUGACAAUAUUGACACCAGUGAUUGCUGUGAUUUUGGUACCUUUGACAUCUGGACACUUCCACCAAUGAGCAAGUCAUCAGUGUCACCCUCUGUCCUACUGACCAUCUUCCCCUCCACUUCCAGCUCAUCCCUGAUCUCCUGGAUCUUGUAGAUAUUGGAGAACAUCUCACCAUGGCUGAUGAGGUCCUGGUAGAUGAUCAUGGUGGGAGGGCUGGAGGGAGACGACCGAGGCACUAACUUAGCAGGAGCCCAGAGCCAGGUGCCGCUGAAGCAGUGCUCUCAGGGGAAGGGGGAGCGGGUGGAAAAAUCAACCUGUACAUUCUUUAUUACGUUUUCUUCCUUCCUACUCUGUCCACUUUCCCUCCAUCACAAUACUUUUUUUUCUUUUUUUUUUCUUUUUGUCUUUUUAGGGCUACACCCAUGGCAUAUGGAGGUUCCAGGGCUAGGGAUCGAAUUGGAGCUGUAGCUACCAGCCUAUACCACAGCCACAGCAAUGCGGGAUCUAAGCUGCACCUGUGACCUACACUCCAGCUCACGGCAACUCUGGAUCCUUAACCCACUGAGCAAGGCCAGGGAUACAAUCUGCGUCCUCAUGGGUAUUAGCUGGGUUGGUUAACUACUGAGCCAUGAUGGGAACCCCCAUCACAGUACUUUCUGAUGUUAUCUUGCAGAUAAGCUAUUUGCACACAAUACUUUGUCUCAGAGAAAUGCAAACUAAAAUAACAGGAAAGAAAAAUCUGAUCAUUCCAAGCUGACACUGAUGUUGAAUCAAUUAGCUAUAGUCAGGGAGGCUGGCCUCUGAGCACAGAGCUGGCCACUGAAUAGAUGAGUGCAGUUUCUAAGCAACAAAGAGUUGUUGAGAGUCCCAUAGUCACUGCAAGGAAGGCCUGAAGUAACUCUCAGUCUGGUGAAAGUUUAAUAUGAAAGGAGACCUUUGGGGGGAAAGACGCUGAUGGUGGGAUUCACUAGAGAAAGGAAUUGAGUCUCCCACUCAGCAAACCUGUGGGUCUUGUGUGUGUGAGUUCACAGGCUUCAGUAUGGUUUAGGUCAAGGCUUAUCAGACUUUUAGAAAUCUUGAUCCAACAAAGUAACUGUAGGAGUUCCUGUUGUGGUUCAGUGGGUUAAGAUCCUGACAUAGAGAGUUCACAUUGUGGCUCAGCGGUAAUAAACCUGACUAGUAUCCAUGAGGAUGUGGGUUUGAUCCCUGGCCUCCCUCAAUGGAUUAAGGAUCCAGCACUGCCAUGAGCUGUGGUAUAGGUCACAGACCCAGCUCGGAUCCUACAUUGCUGUGGCUGUGGCAUAGGCUGGCAGCUGUAGCUCCGAUCAAUCCCUAGCCUAGGAACUUCCAUAUGUCACAGGUGUGGCCCUAAAAAGAAAAAAAAAAAAAGAACCUGACAUAGUGUCCUUGAGGAUUUGGAUUUGGGUUCAAUCCCUGGCCUUGCUCAGUGGGUUAAGGAUCCAGCAUUGCCAUGAGCUGUGGUGUAGGUCAAAGGUGUAGCUUGGAUCUGGCCUUGCUGUUGCUGUGGUGUGGGCCAGCAGCAAGCCUGGGAACUUCCGUAUGCCACAGGCAUGUCUAUAAAAACUAAAAAAAAGACAGGAAAAAAAAGUAACUGUAUUUCUCACUUUUCUUGUGGCUAGUAAAUAUGUUUUCAGGAAUCAUCACCCACUCCACAUAGAUUUUGGGGAAAUUACUUGUGGUCAAGGUUCUGAUAAUUUACAAUACAGGAAAAGAAAGUCUCUCAAGGAGUUCCCGUUGUGGCUCAGCAUUAAGGAACCCGACUAGUGUCCUUGAGGACGGGGGUUCGAUCCCUGUCUUUGCUCAGUGGGUUGAGGAUCCGGCAUUGCUGUGAACUGUGGUGUAGGUUGCAGACACGGCUUGGAUCCAGCAUUGUUUGUGGCUGUGGCGCAGGCUGGCAGCAACAGCUCCGAUUGGACCCCUAACCUGGGAACCUCUAUAUGCUGCGGGUGUGGCCCUAAAGAGACAAAAAAAGAUGAAAAAAAAAAAAAAAAAAACAAAGUCUCUCAUAUGAACAAAAACAAGGAAGGGAAUGAGGGCGUUACUGGAAGGGAUGCAAUGGGGACCACACUGCCCAUCUUUCAGAGGUUGUCUCUGUGCUUCCCUCUUUACCUAUGUCUGCCUGUCUCUUCCUCUUCCCAUUGCCUUCCCCUGUGACUCAUCUUGGACUUGGCCUGAUUAUUUACAAACUCCUGGCCUAAAUAUAGAGCAGUCACUUCCUUCUCGGUAUCUGUUAUGGAAUAAAAUGUGUCCCAAAACAAGUUAUGUUCAAGUCCAACCCCUGUAUCUCUGAACAUGACCUCAUUUGGAAAUAGAGGCUUUACAGAUACAAUCAAGUUAAAAUAAGGUCAUCAAGGUGGGGAAUCUAAUAUGACUAAUAUUCUUAGAAGAGGAGAAGAAACAGAAAUACAUACAGAGGGAAGAUGAUGUAAAGAAGACACACAGGGACAAAGACGGAGGCAGAGAGUGGAGUAAGGUGUCUACAAGCUGAAGAAUGCCAAGAAUGGGAACACCAGAAGCUAAGAAAAGGCAUGGGCCAGAUUCUCUCCUAGUGUAUUUAGAGCAAGCACGGCUCUAUUGGCACCUCGAUUUUGUGCUUCUGGCCUCUAGAACUAGCACAGAGUAAAUUUCAGUUGUUUUAAGUCACUGAGUUUGUGAUACUUCGUGACAGGCAUUCUAGGAAACGCGGUAUUCUAGCUGAAGUUGCUAGGAUGCUGAGUAUCUUCCCUCUGAUCAGGUGCCUUACCCUGAUGCAGUCAGAGGUCAGCUUAAGCUUGCUUCCCAGUCUGGUAACUAUGAGUGGGACACUUUGACCUACAUGUCUAGUAUAGGAAGGCUAGCAGGACCCAUUAGAGAAAAGCCAGUGAGUGUGGCCAGUGGCUUGAUGACCUAGAGGGGGAAGCAGGACUCACCUUCUGUACCCUCUUGGGUUGAAGCUUGAGUUUCAAGAGAGCACAAUGUACUCCAACAGAAAGCGUCCCAUUUCUUCAACCAUAAUGAAGUAGUCUUGUGAUUUUAUUAUGCAGGAAAGGGAAGCUUUCUGGGGUCAAACACCAACCACUGAAAUAAUGUCGGCCAAUACUGCAUUAUUUUGAAAAAACAUCUUUAUCUCUUCAUGCUUGCUUUUCUCGCAAGAUAUGGUUCCACAGGAAAAGUAACACUGGCUAAUAAGCUAGCUACUCCAAGACAAAAUUAUGCCGCCUAAAAUGGGCUACUCAUGAAUUUUUUUUUUUCCUUUUUAGGGCUGCACCCACAGCUUAUGGAGGUUUCCAAGCUAGGGGUCCAAUUGGAGCUCAGAUGCCAGACUAUACCACAGCCACAGCAACACCAGAUCCGAGCCACAUCUGCGACCUACACCACAGCUCGUGGCAACACCGGAUCCUUAACUCACUGAGCAGGGCCAGGGAUCAAACUGGCAUCCUCAUGCAUCUUAGGUUCGUUAACAGCUGAACCACAAAGGGAAUUCUGAAUUUUUUUUUAAUUUAAAGGGCCGCACCUAUAGCAUAUGGGAGUUUCCAGGCUAGGGGUCAAAUCGGAGCUGCAGCUGCUGGCCUAUAGCACAGCCACGGCAACAUGGGAUCCAAGCCGUAUACAUCACACCUUGCAGCAACGCCUAGCCUUAACCCACUGAGCGAGGCCAGGGAUCGAACUCGCAUCCUCAUGCAUACUAGUUAGGUUCUUAACCCGCUGAGCCACAACGGGAACUCCUAUUCAUGAAAUUAUUAAUCUGGGCCCUUUACGGCAGUAAAAAGCAGGACAGAGAUUUAAAAAACAAACAAACAAACAAGCAAACCCCACAUCAGCACUCAAAGAUGUGUCUGGCAUAUUGUGUUUCCGUCAUCAGACUGAAACAGCUGAAAUGGGAAAAAUCUUUCUCUGGGGCUUUUUUGCCAUUCUUGGAACUCCUUCACACUGCAGCUGGGAAAAUAGGCCUCAUGACAUACAGAUAUAGAUAUAAAUCAUCACCUGUUCAUGAAUAAAUAAAACCUGAAUUUGAGCCAGAACAGUAAAUCCAUUCUCUUUCAGUCUGGGAGAUGUAGUGUGCUGGUACGUGCCCAACAACCAGUUCUCCCAGGAGGAAGGACCUGAUCUGCAGCUUUUGCUGAUUUCUGACUCCUACCAUGGCUUAUUUCAAGUCACCAAUCUGAAGGCUGUGAACUUGAAGUUGGGAGAACACAUGCACCACCCACACAUAGUUAGCUCCCACACAGGAUCCAUAAGAAUUUGUUUAAUAGUUGUACUUGAUGUCUAUAGACAACUUUAAAAAAAUUGUUUUCUUGGGAGUUCCCAUUAUGGCUCAGCAGAAACAAACCUGAUGAGUAACUAUGAGGCUGCAGGUUUUAUCCUGGCCUCGCUCAGUUGGUUAAGGAUCCGGCGUUCCAUGAGCUGUGGUGUAAGUUGCAGAUCCAGCUUGGAUCAUAUGUUGCUGUGGCUGUGGUGUAGGCCAGCAGCUGUAGCUCUGAUUGGACCCCUA